AAAACUGUAGUAUAAUUUAGAUACGCUCCAUUGUCGGUGGAGAGGCCGGAGUUUUA
rnacentral:tRNA from 1 species